AGAGUUUGAUCCUGGCUCAGGACGAACGCUGGCGGCGUGCUUAACACAUGCAAGUCGAGCGGAAAGGCCCUUUCGGGGGUACUCGAGCGGCGAACGGGUGAGUAACACGUGAGUAACCUGCCCUGGACUUUGGGAUAACCCUCGGAAACGGGGGGCUAAUACCGGAUACGACAUUCCACCGCAUGGUGUGUUUGUGGAAAGUUUUUUCGGUCUGGGAUGGGCUCGCGGCCUAUCAGCUUGUUGGUGGGGUGAUGGCCUACCAAGGCGACGACGGGUAGCCGGCCUGAGAGGGCGACCGGCCACACUGGGACUGAGACACGGCCCAGACUCCUACGGGAGGCAGCAGUGGGGAAUAUUGCACAAUGGGCGGAAGCCUGAUGCAGCGACGCCGCGUGAGGGAUGACGGCCUUCGGGUUGUAAACCUCUUUCAGCAGGGACGAAGCGCAAGUGACGGUACCUGCAGAAGAAGCGCCGGCCAACUACGUGCCAGCAGCCGCGGUAAGACGUAGGGCGCGAGCGUUGUCCGGAUUUAUUGGGCGUAAAGAGCUCGUAGGCGGCUUGUCGCGUCGACUGUGAAAACCCGCGGCUCAACCGCGGGCCUGCAGCCGAUACGGGCAGGCUAGAGUUCGGUAGGGGAGACUGGAAUUCCUGGUGUAGCGGUGAAAUGCGCGAUAUCAGGAGGAACACCGGUGGCGAAGGCGGGUCUCUGGGCCGAUACUGACGCUGAGGAGCGAAAGCGUGGGGAGCGAACAGGAUUAGAUACCCUAGUAGUCC
rnacentral:rRNA from 1 species